rnacentral:tRNA from 1 species
GAAAUAUACAUAAAAAAGCUUCUAACUUAUUUUCUAGCGGUGAACCCGUUAAUAUUUCU